CCUCAAUGUGGCCGCUAGAUUUGGCCUAGCAACUGGAUGUACAGGUGAAGGAGAAGAGUGCUGUAAAUAACAUAAAUUAUUACAAAGAAACCGUAAUGAGCGUUUAGUUACCUUGGCAGAAUACGUCUUUUUCGAGGAGUCCAAAUCAAAAAUUUUAAAUGGGAUUUUAUAUUUGUCUUCUUUGGUUUUGGAUUUAUUGCGCCUUUUAUUAUCCUCUGUUCGUUCAGUGGAAGAAUCUGUAGUGGGAGUUUCUACAACAAUUUGCGGCACAUUUCUAAAGGAACACAUUUAAAAUUCAGGUUUGGUGGUCUCCUGGAAAUAGUUACUUAGUUUACUGGGAUCCUGCUCGGCCAAUUCUGUGGGAUCGGCCAGUGAAUUAAGAUCAUUGAAGGAUAAAGUCUUUCUUAAUCGUUCGCGCAAUGUGGACGUAAAUGUGCUUCUAACAGGCACCCUGUAAAAAAUAAUAAAUAUAAGAAAGAUAAUAAUGAAAAGUUUCCUAUGGAUAGAAGAAAAUCUGUGAGAUAGAAAAAUAUGUAACGGCAAGUCAUUUGUUUGUCUUUUCCAAUGAACAACUAUUAAACCCCAUUUUGUAAAAACCGAUAAGAUGAAUUUUAAUCCGGAUGAUGUGCAAUAUUUCAAGGCUGAAAAUGCGGUGGGACAUAUUGGUGGGCUAUCUAAGUUAUUUGCCUUCGAAAUUGGAUAAUGUUUGUCAUCGCUUCCAAUAUAUCCAUUUCAAAUAAAGUGACAGAUGGCAGCCCCAACUUUAAAUCAAAGGCCCUUUAACGGAUGAACCGAUUCAUAACAAUGGAAGCGAGUGGAGCCGACAUACACAAAAUCCCCAAAUGUCCAACAUAACAAUCGUUAACUAUCCCCCGAAAUCCAUGCAAUUUUCAACGUCCCUCUCGUCGAUCUCGUUGAAGCCCGUCCGCUAUUCCCUCCAAACCGAUCCACACUAUCCCUCCAACCCAGCCUGCUCCCACCCAAUCUCCUCUCUCACAGGCUCCUCCUUUUUUACUCUCUCUAUCCCCCUCCUACCAACCGUUAUUUACGCAAUCCCAUAGUAGCCGGUUGUACGUACCGGAUGGACCCGAUGAAGUCCUUCAUCGGCAAGGGCUGCCGCCUCAGUGUACAACACACUGCUACAACAACAACAACCGUUAUUUACACUGCCCCCUCACUUCACUUCCUCUAAAUGGGCCAAUUCAAAAAUUAAUUGGAUCAAUUAAAAAUUAAUCGGCGCAAUUAAAAAAUUAUUUGGAGCAAUUAAUUAGGUGACUGAAACCGAUUUUUAUUUUCUGUAUGUGAUGAUGUUCUGUGUAUGAUGUUCUGAGUAAGCACUUAUCAAAUUGAUCAAAUUCA